CUACGGGCGGCUCCAGUGGGGAAUCUUAGACAAUGGGGGAAACCCUGAUCUAGCCAUGCCGCGUGAGCGACGACGGCCCUAGGGUUGUAAAGCUCUUUCAGCAGGGAAGAUAAUGACGGUACCUGCAGAAGAAGUCCCGGUUAACUCCGUGCCAGCAGCCGCGGUAAUACGGAGGGGACUAGCGUUGUUCGGAAUUACUGGGCGUAAAGCGCGCGUAGGCGGAUUGUUAAGUCGGGGGUGAAAUCCCGGGGCUCAACCCCGGAACUGCCCUCGAUACUGGCAGUCUAGAGUUCGAGAGAGGUGAGUGGAAUUCCGAGUGUAGAGGUGAAAUUCGUAGAUAUUCGGAGGAACACCAGUGGCGAAGGCGGCUCACUGGCUCGAUACUGACGCUGAGGUGCGAAAGCGUGGGGAGCAAACAGGAUUAGAUACCCGAGUAGUC
rnacentral:rRNA from 1 species